GCGGUUAUCAAGGAGUGAGAAUUUAUAUUUAUACUGACCACCAUAGGUCUCCUAUAUCUAUGCUGACCACUCACCAGUCUGACCUCGAUACAGACUCUUUUUCAAUCCUUAUUACACUGGCCUGUAAGGCCAAGUGUCUUAAAUCCCCCUUUUUCUGUUUUUUUCGUAGUCGAGAAAUCGAGUUUGCGUUAGCUCAUCGCAGGCUCAGGG